GCUGCUUGUAUGCAUUUGCACGUCAGUGUCAGCAAUAGGUGGUUUAUCUUUAAGGAUCUGAAUGCAGGAUUCAGUAGAAGUGUAGGCAUGUGCUGGUUCUGUGUUAGAGUCUGUGAGUUACAGUAGGUAGGAAGUGGUGCUGGAGUGGUUCUGUGUUAGAGUCUGUGAGUUACAGUAGGUAGGAAGUGGUGCUGGAGUGGUUCUGUGUUAGAGUCUGUGAGUUACAGUAGGUAGGAAGUGGUGCUGGAGUGGUUCUGUGUUAGAGUCUGUGAGUUACAGUAGGUAGGAAGUGGAGCUGGAGUGGUUCUGUGUUAGAGUCUGGGAGUUACAGUAGGUAGGAAGUGGUGC